CCCUCAAGGGCGCCUAGCAUCCUCCCCGAACCACCAACAUGGAAAUUGGCCAAUUAACAGCAACGUCUCUACGAUCCGUGAAUAUUUCACGCUUUAACAUAUAGUCCAAUUUAGACCUUGACGAAAAUAAUACAUUCGCCAUCCCGUUAACGGCGGAUUCGUUAUCGAACUUAAGACCAUUGUCAUUAGUGUCUAAUCACCGCGGUUACCUGUCAAUUCUGCAACAUCCACACUUGUACUAAUAAUCAUAUUUGUACUAGUAAAUAUCUUCUCUAUUGCAUAACGACAAUGUAUAAUCGAAAGGAAGAUUCGUUACACGCCUCUAACCUUAAUCAUAACGAGAACCCGACAUAUAUGGUAAAUAAAUUUUUUAUGGGUUAUAAAUAUUUUAUUUUCUCUCUGUGAUUUCUUAAACGAUUGUUAAAGAAUUUCUUAGCUUUGAGGAAAUGGCUGUUAUCGCGAUAUGCAUGACUUCCUCUCGUAACUUAUGAAAUAAGAAGAUGAUUAAUUAGAUAUAAGAAUUUAAAUACCGCAUCAGAGUGAAAUAACACAAAGUGUUCCAUUCAGAAUGAAUAUUAGCUUACUUAACUAUGAUAAAUGUGUAAAAGAAAUUUCUUUCACUUCUCGAAUAAAAUACAGUCGCUUUUCGUAAGCGUGGUGGGAUCGACAUCAAUCGUACAUAUCGCUUGAUUGACGUCUGUAACACGAUUAUGCCGCGACUCAGAUCUAAUAAUGUGAUGAUACCUUUAGUUAGAUACACAGUUCUGAUAGUUUGGGUAGUUAUUUGUCCGAACGAUCCUCGAGAGAUCGAUCUGUUCUCAUGCACUCUGAUCCCCUUCCGACCAGUCUAUUUACCUGAAUUCGUUUAGCUCUAUUGUGUAUCAGUGCGCUACAAGUUGCCAUCCAGAGUUUGAUAUCUCACAAAGAUAAUUGAACUUUCGUACGUUCGCGGGGAGACGCGAUCUCGAAAAAGCGCGCCAACGGGAGUCGUAAAUUCCCGUUACGAUUUGACUAAGCGACGCCACGAAUCGUUCGAUCCCUUAUUUCUUGUGCGAUAGUUAGAAUAGUUGAUUGAAUAUAACUCUGUUAUUAACAGGUUACUAUAUAUUUUGACUUAUUCAACAGCUUUAGUGUGAAACAAGAUUGAGUACUUGAUAUGACACCUACGAACGAGUACGAGUACCAUCCUUUCGUGUUCACGAUGAGGAUGACUUUUUUUGACUUGUACAUUCUUGCUGUUCCUUGCACUGAUUUCUGACUCGAGUUGAUUUAGUCUGUUACUUGACUGUUUUGUUGAUAUAGACUAACUUAGAGCACAAGUUGAUUGUUCUGUAGUCCCGAGAACAGGUGAAGUUCGUUCUUAUGUGAUUACAAAUGAAAGCUCGGUAAGGGUGUGUCCUUUGAACGAAGAACAUGGAUUCGUUGCUCACACUUUUCGUCAGGAAAGUGAGGGUAACGAUCCGCCAACGCCAACCAAGUUGGUUAUAACCAUUGGUUAUGACCAAUGAAGAUAGGAAGAAGCCUCCUACCAACGUGGCUAAUGGGCGACAUGGUUUAUGGAAAAACCAGCUUUUCCGUUAGACAACUGUUCAUUUUUUCCAUUAGGUAACUACCUGCUUUCUCCGUAAUUUGUAAGAACGUGCAAUAGACCUAAGGACUUGAGGUUAUUAGGUAGUGAUUAGUUUUCACAAACACCAGAGUAUACCUAACUACGUAGUUUAUUAGAAUAUACCCAAUGCGUACACUAGUCGUACAAUACACUUGUUGUCUCGGUUCGCGGUCACUAAUAAUUAGUAUUAUAAUCAAUAAUAAUCACUAAUAAUUAAUAAAUAAUUAAUUGCUGCUGCUCGUGUCUCUCGAUAACUCAGAAUGCCUCGCUACCCUGAUCGCUAUGUUUAUAUGCGUCGGAGUUGACGAAAGACGUUGGGAUUUUGAAUUUUGAAGAUGUUCUCGAAACAUCCCAACGGACGCUGAGCUCUCGACCUUGUUUACAAUUGUUGGCUUUUCGGGUAGUUGACUCGAGGGCCUAUGAUCACGGCAAAAACGACGGAUUUGGAUUAACGAUCGGUAACCGCCUAAGGUUGUCGAAUCUAUAAUAGGCUCGUCUUUCGGUAAACACGAUUUCUUGUGUAGCGGAUUCACUGGGCGAAAACCGUUAUGAUUUUUACCGACGAGUACCGCUACAGACUAUUUCAAGUACCAGCUAUAAACCGAAAGUACUUGCAGGAUUAAAGUUUCCUGCAAGCUAAUAAGAUUCGGUUUAUGGUGGGGCCUUAGGUUUAUCGAGGGUCUGUCUAAUGGUGCUUGGGCCUCGACGGGCAGACAAUGAAGGACGUCGCGCGGACCAUUUCACGCGACGUAACAACAAUAAUCGAGUCGAUGUUGAAUUAGCCGCAAAGUAUUCGAACGAAUUGAAACAGUGAAGGUAUUGAAAAGAUUUGACAAAAGUUGAUUUUGGAAUAAAGUAUCGUAAACUAAGUUUUAGUUAGUUACAUACUCGAAUUUCGAAUUUUUCAAAUUAUCGAAUUUUCGAACAUUUGAGAUUAAUUCAAAUUCUGAGGAUCAAAUCAUUUCAUGAAAACUUUAAUCAUAUAUACGAUGAAAAAAUGUUCGUCGCGUUAUUAAAGAUGUUUGGAGUUUGAUAUUUAAUUGAUUCUCACAGAACACGUGGUCGACGCCUAUGUCAAAGGAGCGUCGUUAGAAGUCGUGCCGACUUAGCUUGUAGGAACUAGUGAUUAUACCUACUUAACCUUUCCUCAACACAUCGUUCAUAAAAAUUAUAGUAUACAAUAAUAUAAAUUAAUGAUGUAUCAUAUAUGGCAAUAGGUUUUUGUUCACUUCUAAGCUGAGUUUAAAAUUAAUGAAAUUUUUAAUAGCAUUCGCAAUAGGAAGCAACGAACAUGUUUAGAAACCAUAUUUAUUGCCCAUAAACAAUACGUACAAAAUACGACGAAGUAUUAAGUGUUCAAACACUCCAAACAUUUUUCUUCCAACGAAGACAAUUAUUACAGUGACAUUUGACUGUCGACGUUUCCAUUACCCGGCUCUUGUCGCACCUAUCUAAUCGUUACUCACGUUUCCAGAUCGUUUGCCAUCGCUUAUGGACUCAAUUUGUAAAACCCCAUUUCCCCAAUCGCUGGACAUACAGUGUUAAUCCAAAUGUUUCUGAAUCUUUUAUUUUAUGAUUUAAUAUUUUCAUAAUAAUUUCUAUAAUAAUAAUAUUUCUAAUAAAAUCAAGUAAAAUGUCCAUCUAUAUCUAAUUAUUGUAAUUAUUCCAUUAUUCUGACUACGAUAUGUAAAAUUACUUACAUACUUGGCUUUUGAGCCACUGUUAGAACACUCCUAAAGAAAAUGAAGAAGUUGAAGCAGUGAUAUGUCUAUGACAAAAUAUAAGACAUUAUUAAUAUCGGUAAUACAUAAUAACAAACUUAAAACUUUAGCAACAAUAAAGACUAAACUCUAAUAAAUAUGUAAAUUGGAACUCUAAUAUAAAAGUUCGAGAACAAAACAUUAAGUGACAUUUAAUGCGUAUCAGACAGUUUUAUUGCACUUUGGGUAAGUUUAGUUAAGACUGUAAGACUUUAUUUCAAUUAGAAAGGAUAUUGGCAGCUUUCUAAAUUAUCAAUCACUUUUAUUAUAUAAUUAACAAUAAUUCAAACAAAAUAUAAUAAAUAGACCAAAUUGAAAUACAAUAUGUAAAACUACUUACAUUCUUGUGCUCCUGCAGAAGCUUUGUCCGCUUGAGAGAUGCACCGACUCUAAGACCGAAAAGGAAUAUUCAAAUGGCCGUAAAACAUGAUCACAUUACCGCGACUGCCAAAAUUAUAAUCGGCGAACAAGAACUCUAAUGUCACGUACAAAAUUGUUUGAUAAAGUUUUAUUAUUUUCGCGUGUGAUUAUUUUAUUAAAUUUAAUCAAAGCGACCGUGAUCAUCGCGGAGCUGAGGGCGAGAUGUGUCCGGGCCCGAAGACGGUACCUGAGGUCCUGCCGCUGGCGACGACGCGGCGAGGAAGAAGUGUCCUUGCGCCACCGAGCUUACCGCGUGCUAAGGCGCUCGCUGCAAAGGGAGACGAAAAUCGCGAAGGACCGUGCCUGGUCGGAACUGCUCGAAUCAGUCGAAUCCGACCCAAACAUUACGCGAAGGGCCCUCAGCCAACGGCGAAGAUGGAACCGGCGCUGCUUCUGCAGAUUAUCGGAACGCUCUUCUCCCCGCAAGAUCACAGUGCGGCAGAACAGUCGUGGGAAACAACCUGGAAGGUGGAAUGAACAGACGACUGAUAAGUCACGGAGGAAGAGCUGCGACCAGAAGAAUGGCCUCCCGCGACGUGGUGCCAGGUCCGGAAGUAAUCCCGGGCCGGAUCUGGGGGGAAGUGAUGGGGGUCAUGGCUCCCAAACUUCGGCGCCUCUACACGAGAUGCUCGAGGGAGGGAGUCUACCCCCGGGCAUGGCGGACGGCGAGGCUGGUCAUGCUCCGUAAAGAGGGCUGACCGACGACUUCGCUGUCAGCGUACCGGCUGAUAUGCCUGCUGCAAGAGGUCAGCAAGCUCGUCGAGAGAGUGUUUGACGCCCGCCUGGAGCGGCACAUGUCAGGGCGGGUGCCGGACUAGCGCGAAAGCCAGUAAAUCCUCCGGAAGGGAUGCUCGACGAUUGCGCCGGACACUCAUGGAGGACAGCGUGGCGCUGGCGAGCUCUCUGGACAUUGUCAACGCGUUACUUCCAUGCCGUGGAACAGGAUAGUGGCACUUCGAGGUUCCCAGCUACCUCUUGCGGCUGAUUCGCGCCUACCUCGAUGACAAGUGGAUAUAUUACACCAGUAGAAAGGGAGGAAAAAGGUGGCCCGUCGAGCGCGGCGUUUCGCAGGGCUCGGUGUUGGGACGGAUCCCGUGGAUCAUCGCGUACAACGAGGUACUGCGUUGCCCACUGCCUCCGGGCGCGGUCAUGGUGUGCUACGCGCACCACACUCUGGUCUUGGUCGGAGGUCGCGGAUUUUACGAGACGUUGCGGAUCGGCGAAGUCGCAACGGCCUGCGCGACACGGGCUGUGCGCGUACAGGGCCUGAGGGUAUCCCCUACAAAGUCGGAAGCUAUCUGAUUCUUCGACAAGAACAGGCGAGGGACUCCUCCCCCCGGCCUGAGCGUAAGCAUGGCGGGGGAGGCUGUCGGGGUGCCUGCGUCUCGUCAUCGACAGCCAAUGGACGUUCGAGCUGCACUUCGACUCCCUGAUCACGGCGGCUGCUAACGCCUUGUGCGGCCUGUUGUCGAACAUCGGCGGGGCCACUGGAAUAUCAGGCUGUCUGCCUCAUCUGCGAGCGCGUUAUGUUCGCAAAGGAGCGGGAAGAAAGGGAGAGAAAGAGAAACUCUCACCCUUGUAGGAUAACGCGAUGGCGGUCAGACGUCCUAGAGCCGCUUCAUCGCCGUCCCAAUGAACCACGACUAGAAGAGGAGUUGGCGUUAGAGGCAAUGACCUCCUCCCCCCCCCCCCCCUAACGCCAAAUUCAACAGUCAGGGAGUUUUUAGGACUGGCUCGAACAAGAGGACGCGGGAGAAGGGUGCAAUGGAAAUAAUCAUAAGAAGUUCCUGGAGCACCCCUGUCAUAAGCUUAAGAUGGUCAUCGUGGAGUUUUAGUCGUAUCGUGGACAAGAGACGAGAGCCGAGGCGUCGUCGGAUCCAUCAAUGUGUCGUCGUGUCACUGGCCACGGAUGUUCGCGGCCACCACAUGCAUGUUGGGGCUAAGAAAAGACAAAGGGAUGCUAGCCCAGGGGGUAUCAGUUUAGAAGUCGUGCAUAAUGACGAAUUAGCCGAUGAUUAUCUACACCUAGCUUUCUGGUUCUCCAUAAUAUUGGUAAGCUAAUCUAUUAGAGUAAGUACCAAAUUUAUUUACUAAUUUCUAUAUAAUGAUCAAUUUAUUAUGAUCUCAUUAAUCUUGCUAUAUCUUACUAUACUUUAACUACAGCUUCUUUCUACAACUAUCAAUUUAUUAUCCUUAUUAUAUUUAUUAUAUUUUAUUUUUAUUUUAGGCCCGGACCACCAAUCCCACCCAAUGCUAUCAAAAUCGCAUUUUUCGUGGCCAGUGCCCAAAUUGGUCUUUCUUUAACAAUGAACUACGAUUAUCUAAACUCUAAAUAUCGGCACUUAACCCCUUCCCGUGCCAUUUAGUUCGACGAAACUCGGGCCCAAGCGGUAGAUAUCGACGCGCACUAAACAGAUAACGGGCAAAAAAGCAGUCCGCGAGCUCGGCUUGUUACGUUUACGUUUGGCCCAAGUAUCUGGUCGCGAAUCAGACUCGCGAUAUUCAUGUUUUGGCCAAAAUCUUCAUCGCGUGUCUGACUCGAUAAAGUAUGGAAAGGUGUUAAUACAAGAAUAUUCAAACUGUAUACAUAAUUAAUAUUUAAUAUAAAAUUAAAUAUUUAUUUUAA